GGGCCUAAAAACCCCCUCAGACACAAAAGUCUGGUCCUGGCUUUAAAAUCAAUUCUUUCUUAAUUUACACAUGCAAGUCUCCUCAGCCCUGUGAGUACACUUAUUCCUCCGACCAGGAGCGAAAAGUUGGUAUAAGGCACAUAAUCCGCCCAAGACACCUAGCGAUAGCCACACCUACAAGGGAUACAGCAGUGAUUAACAUUAGACAUGAGUGUCAACUUGAUCUAGUCAAAGAAAUACAAGGCCGGCAAAGUUAGUGCCAGCCGCCGCGGUUACACUAUAGGCCUAAAUUGAUUUUUAUCGGCGUAAAGCGUGGUUAAAGACACUAAUAAACUAGAGCCAAAUUCUUAUUGCGCAGUGAAAUGCCUUUCUUCGAGAAGCCCAAAAACGAAAGUUACUCUAUUCCAACAACUUGACCCCACGAUUGCCAAGACACAAACUAGGAUCAGGUACCCUACUAUGCUUGGCCCUAAACCUUAAAUUACCCCCACAU
rnacentral:rRNA from 1 species